rnacentral:rRNA from 1 species
AUGAACUCUUCCGCACCCUCCCAAGAGCUCGAAUCCCUCCCAACGGCCCAUGCAUUUAUGACGACACGAGUUCCAGCAGGAACCAUGUAUCCAUGGAUGGUACAAUCAGCCAUGGCAAGGUGCGGAGCAAGGAGAGGCGCAACAGGAUACAACCUGAGAGGCUUUUUUAUUACUGCUCUUAGGUACACCAUGUUGUUCAUGUCAGAUUGGCUCACAAUUUCUUGUCCCCCGGGUAUGAUACUCCUCACUUCGUCUUGUAGCUUCCCCAUGAAGUGUGGCUUCCUCAUGAGCUCAGCCAAAGUGAAUUCGAGGACGUUAGCUGANNNNNNNNNNGUGUCUGUUGCACCGAAAAAUACAUCCUGUGGAUAA